UGCCUGGGUCAGAGCUCUGGGGAGGAACUGCCCAGUUACGACCCAGAGGGAACCAUGGAAGCCCCAGCACAGCUUCUCUUCCUCCUGCUGCUCUGGCUCCCAGAUACCACCGGAGAAAUAGUGAUGACACAGUCUCCAGCCACCCUGUCUUUGUCUCCAGGGGAAAGAGCCACCAUCUCCUGCAGGGCCAGUCAGAGUGUUAGCAACUACUUAGCCUGGUACCAGCAGAAACCUGGGCAGGCUCCCAGGCUCCUUAUCCAUAGUGCAUCCACCAGGGCCACUGGCAUCCCAGCCAGGUUCAGUGGCAGUGGGUCUGGGACAGACUUCACUCUCACCAUCAGCAGCGUGGAGCCUGAAGAUUUUGCAGUCUAUUACUGUCAGCAGUAUAAUAACUGGAACCCACAGUGA